rnacentral:rRNA from 1 species
UACGAAGGGAGCUAGCGUUGUUCGGAAUCACUGGGCGUAAAGCGCACGUAGGCGGAUGUGUCAGUCAGGGGUGAAAUCCCGGGGCUCAACCUCGGAACUGCCUUUGAUACAGCAAGUCUUGAGUUCGAGAGAGGUGGGUGGAAUUCCUAGUGUAGAGGUGAAAUUCGUAGAUAUUAGGAAGAACACCGGUGGCGAAGGCGGCCCACUGGCUCGAUACUGACGCUGAGGUGCGAAAGCGUAGGGAGCAAACAGG